UACGAGAGGGUGUCGAGUCGUUGUCCGGAAUCAGCUGGGCGUAAAGGGCGCGUAGGUGGCGCGAACCAAGGUCAGUGGCUGGAAAGGCCUCGGCGCUCGAACGCCGAGUCGGCCACGUGAUACUGUUGGGCUUGAGCACUGUAGAGGCUAAUGGAAUUCCGGGUGUAGCGGUGGAAUGCGUAGAGAUCCGGAAGAACACCGGUGGCGAAGGCGGUUAGCUGGGCAGGUUGCUGACACUGAGGCGCGACAGCGUGGGGAGCAAACAGG
rnacentral:rRNA from 1 species